CUAUACAAUUUACUACUUUCC
rnacentral:miRNA from 13 species